UGAGGUUAGGUAGAAUUUUAGCAUGGAUUGUGCGCAACUAGCUAAAGAAUGUAGAAUUCACAAAUGACAAUGGCAAAUAAUCUCACUCCUGUUCUUAGGAACCUAUUGAGGUUGAUGUUUAACUGGACCUCAAGCCAUUCCUCUCACUGCCCAUCCUCCUAAGUAUGAUGUAUGGCCUGAAGAAAUAAUCAUGGUGGGAACACAGCUUUUCUGAUGUCUGGAAAUUUUUGGAUAAACUAAGGAUUUGGAAGUUCAUCAUUGGAAGCAUCUGCAGAUACAUUCAUUUAAGGAAUGAAUCCUUCUCACUGGAGACAAUAGAGGGGACCUGCAUAUCAAUAAUAAACAUCACUUCAAGACAUCAAAGCAAAAUAUCAAAUUGAGAAUGGAAUAAUUUUAUUAGGACAGUGUUUUGCAAACAACUUCUUUCACAAACAGUCUUGGAAGGAGAGUUCUGAAAUUUUGCAUUUCAUAUUUUACUUUGCUGGUACUCUGACAGAAUCAACUCACAACUGUUUGGGACCUUAUGGGCAAUUAAACACUACAAACAGAGCUGAAUGCAUCAUAUGCUCUGCCGUCUGUGUUAAUAUGGGUACAGUGAAGAACAACUAUAAUAAAUCUAUUCAUCUGUUUUUCAAACAGCAUCCUCAUACAAUUGUGGACUUCUGUGGGUUGUAGGAUGGCUGAGAGCUGCAAAUGCAGAA